rnacentral:rRNA from 1 species
GAUGAACGCUGGCGGUAUGCUUAACACAUGCAAGUCGAACGGACUCUUCGGAGUUAGUGGCGGACGGGUGAGUAACGCGUGAGAAUCUGGCUUUGGGUUCGGGACAACCACUGGAAACGGUGGCUAAUACCGGAUGUGCCGAGAGGUAAAAGAGAAAUUGCCUGAAGAUGAGCUCGCGUCUGAUUAGCUAGUUGGUGAGGUAAAGGCUCACCAAGGCAGCGAUCAGUAGCUGGUCUGAGAGGAUGACCAGCCACACUGGGACUGAGACACGGCCCAGACUCCGGGGGGGGGAAGGGGGGGGAAUUUUCCGGCAAGGGGCGAAGGCCGGACGGAGAAAUCCCGGGUGAGGGAAAAAGGCUGUGGGGUUAUAAACCUUUUUUCGGGGGGAAGAAAAAAAUGACGGACCCUAAGGAAUCGCCUUGGCCAACCCCCGGC